rnacentral:rRNA from 1 species
GACGAACGCUGGCGGCGUGCUUAACACAUGCAAGUCGAACGGAAAGGCCCUGCUUUUGUGGGGUGCUCGAGUGGCGAACGGGUGAGUAACACGUGAGUAACCUGCCCUUGACUUUGGGAUAACUUCAGGAAACUGGGGUUAAUACCGGAUAGGAGCUCCUGCUGCAUGGUGGGGGUUGGAAAGUUUCGGCGGUUGGGGAUGGACUCGCGGCUUAUCAGCUUGUUGGUGGGGUGGUGGCUUACCAAGGCUUUGACGGGUAGCCGGCCUGAGAGGGUGACCGGCCACAUGGGAACUGAGAUACGGCCCGGACUCCUACGGGGGGCAGCAGUGGGGAAUAUUGCACAAUGGGCGGAAGCCUGAGGCAGCAACGCCGCGGGCGGGAUAACGGCCUUCGGGUUGUAAACCGCUUUCGCCUGUGACGAAGCGUGAGUGACGGUAAUGGGUAAAGAAGCACCGGCUAACUACGUG